CAGCAGUAAGGAAUAUUGGGCAAUGGACGCAAGUUCUGACCCAGCCAUCCCGCGUGCAGGAAGAAUGCCCUUAUGGGUUUGUAAACUGCUUUUUGUUUGGGAAGAAAUGUGUUUUUUCAAGAGCAAUUUGACGGUACCAGACGAAUAAGCACCGGCUAACUCCGUGCCAGCAGCCGCGGUAAUACGGAGGGUGCAAGCGUUAUCCGGAAUCACUGGGUUUAAAGGGUGCGUAGGCGGCCAAAUAAGUCAGAGGUGAAAGUUUCCGGCUCAACCUGGAAGAUUGCCUUUGAAACUGUAUGGCUUGAAUCAGAUUCAGGUUGGCGGAAUGCGACACGUACGCGGUGAAAUGCAUAGAUUGUCAUAGAACAUCCACUCGCGAAGGCAGCGGGCUGGCUCUGAAUUGACGCUCAGCCCCGAAAGCGUGGGGAGCAAACAAAAUUAGAUACCCUGCGCAGGUCCACGCCCUAAAACAAUGUUACUCGAC
rnacentral:rRNA from 1 species